GGCCAUAGUUUUAAGUCAGCUUGUAACGCAGAGAACAGCUCACAUUUACCAAGUGCUUCUAUGCCAGGCACAGUUCUUAGUACGUCAAUGUUUUAAUUCGUUUGAUCCUCACAACAACUCAGUGAGGUAGGUACUGUCAUUGUCCCUCCAUUUUACAGAUGAGGAAAUUGAGGCUCGGAGGGAUAGGUAUUUACCCCGGGUCAUUUAGCCAGUGAAUGACUGAGCCAGGCUAGAGCCCCAGGUUGUCUGGCUGCAGGGCCCGGGCAGUAGCUGCUCCUCCAGGCAGCCCUUAUCAGCCACAGGCACAAGCUACUUUUGAGGCGUCUUCCAUCUAAAGUGACGUCACCAGCCCUCUGACAUGGGGACAAUGUGAAGGGAGGGAGAAGCAGAGUGUGCCAGGACGUCUACUUCCACAUCUACGGUGAGGAAGGCCGGUCUCCACAUUCACCAGGGAUUAACAUCGGAGCAUUAAGCCAGACCCUGAAAAGACAUAAACCACGAGUUCAUGCGCGGGGCAGCGGCUAGUUUAAAGAAGAACUUUCCUGCGUGAAGAAUGAAAUAGUUCCUUCCCGACCCCGCCCCCCUCAACGACAUUUACUCCCGCAACUUGAAGAGCGGUUACUGGUCACUGAAGCCUGCCAGCUGCGGGAGAGUCCAAACCCAGACCUGCCGCCGCUCUCAGGGCAUGGAAGGCACAAGUGAGCGAAGGCUGUUCCGCUUCCUUUCCGUGCUCGUCUUCUAAAGAGGGCGAGUCAUCCCAGGCCCCCUCCUUCCUUCAACUUCUUUCUCUUCCAAAGCUCAAAGUGCGGCAGGAAAAGCAGCCCUGAGGGCACGCCUGGAGGAACCAGAGGAUGGAGCCCAGAGCAAUCAAGUUCACUGAAGAGUGAAGGGUGAAUCCUGGAAAGGACAGAGCCAGAGAAGAGGAACCCAACAUUCUUCCCAUAAACUCUGCCCAAGGCUCUGAUUCACGCCGGACCCGCACACGAGCAGGGUAAACUGCAGGUGUCCCAGCUAAAGAUGAAAAGAAACGGAACCCGGAGCAAUCGCCUGCUGCAGAACGUAGCAUCCAUAUAGUCUGAUCUGCAUUUUGCUAUUUUCACUUAACAAUAGAUCCUGGACAUGACUCUCUAUCAGUGGUUUUUCAAGUCUGAAUGCCAAGCACAUUUUCUACAGAAGGCACCUAAUUUAUCCUAGGCUGUAAAGGGCAGCUAUAAGAAUUCUGUGGCUGGACCGAAGUGGAAUAUGAAAGAAAAUGUGGACUUAU